GGACCCGCACAAGUAGUGGAGCAUGUGGUUUAAUUCGAAGAUACGCGCAGAACCUUACCAACACUUGACAUGUUCGUCGCGACUUUAAGAGAUUAAAGUUUUCGGUUCGGCCGGACGAAACACAGGUGCUGCAUGGCUGUCGUCAGCUCGUGUCGUGAGAUGUUGGGUUAAGUCCCGCAACGAGCGCAACCCUCACUUUUAGUUGCCAUCAUUUAGUUGGGCACUCUGAAAGAACUGCCAGUGAUAAGCUGGAGGAAGGUGGGGAUGACGUCAAGUCCUCAUGGCCCUUACGUGUUGGGCUACACACGUGCUACAAUGGCAGUGACAAUGGGAUAAUCCCCAAAAGCUGUCUCAGUUCGGAUUGUCGGCUGCAACUCGCCGGCAUG
rnacentral:rRNA from 1 species